UGCCGCGUGUGUGAAGAAGGCCUUUUGGUUGUAAAGCACUUUAAGCGAGGAGGAGGCUACUUAGAUUAAUACUCUAGGAUAGUGGACGUUACUCGCAGAAUAAGCACCGGCUAACUCUGUGCCAGCAGCCGCGGUAAUACAGAGGGUGCGAGCGUUAAUCGGAUUUACUGGGCGUAAAGCGUGCGUAGGCGGCUUCUUAAGUCGGAUGUGAAAUCCCUGAGCUUAACUUAGGAAUUGCAUUCGAUACUGGGAAGCUAGAGUAUGGGAGAGGAUGGUAGAAUUCCAGGUGUAGCGGUGAAAUGCGUAGAGAUCUGGAGGAAUACCGAUGGCGAAGGCAGCCAUCUGGCCUAAUACUGACGCUGAGGUACGAAAUCAUGGGGAGCAAACAGGAUUAGAUACCCUGGUAGUCCAUGCCGUAAACGAUGUCUACUAGCCGUUGGGGCCUUUGAGGCUUUAGUGGCGCAGCUAACGCGAUAAGUAGACCGCCUGGGGAGUACGGUCGCAAGACUAAAACUCAAAUGAAUUGACGGGGGCCCGCACAAGCGGUGGAGCAUGUGGUUUAAUUCGAUGCAACGCGAAGAACCUUACCUGGUCUUGACAUAGUAAGAACUUUCCAGAGAUGGAUUGGUGCCUUCGGGAACUUACAUACAGGUGCUGCAUGGCUGUCGUCAGCUCGUGUCGUGAGAUGUUGGGUUAAGUCCCGCAACGAGCGCAACCCUUUUCCUUAUUUGCCAGCGGGUUAAGCCGGGAACUUUAAGGAUACUGCCAGUGACAAACUGGAGGAAGGCGGGGACGACGUCAAGUCAUCAUGGCCCUUACGACCAGGGCUACACACGUGCUACAAUGGUCGGUACAAGGGUUGCUACCUAGCGAUAGGAUGCUAAUCUCAAAAAGCCGAUCGUAGU
rnacentral:rRNA from 1 species